rnacentral:rRNA from 1 species
UACGUAGGGUGCAAGCGUUGUCCGGAAUUAUUGGGCGUAAAGAGCUCGUAGGCGGUUUGUCGCGUCGAAUGUGAAAACCCGGGGCUCAACCCCGGGCCUGCAUUCGAUACGGGCAGACUAGAGUUCGGUAGGGGAGUCUGGAAUUCCUGGUGUAGCGGUGAAAUGCGCAGAUAUCAGGAGGAACACCGGUGGCGAAGGCGGGACUCUGGGCCGAUACUGACGCUGAUGCACGAAAGCGUGGGUAGCAAACAGG